UACGUAGGGACCAAGCGUUGUUCGGAUUUACUGGGCGUAAAGGGCGCGUAGGCGGCAAUUCAAGUCAUCUGUGAAAUCUCCGGGCUUAACUCGGAACGGUCAGAUGAUACUGCUUUGCUAGAGUGCGGAAGGGGCAAUCGGAAUUCUUGGUGUAGCGGUGAAAUGCGCAGAUAUCGGGAAGAACACCCGUGGCGAAGGCGGUUCUCUGGGACGGUACUGACGCUGAGACGCGAAAGCGU
rnacentral:rRNA from 1 species